CCUACGGGCGACAGCAGUGGGGAAUAUUGGGCAAUGGAGGCAACUCUGACCCAGCAAUGCCGCGUGAAUGAAGAAGGUCUUCGGAUUGUAAAGUUCUUUAAUUGGGGGCGAAAAACAUGACGGUCCCCCAGGAAUAAGCCUCGGCUAAAUACGUGCCAGGAGCAGCGGUAAUACGUAGGGGGCAAGCGUUGGUCGGAAUGACUGGGCGUAAAGGGUGUGUAGGCGGUGUAGCAAGUUAGAAGUGAAAUACCUAGAGCUUAACUCAGGUGCUGCUUCUAAAACUGCUAUACUUGAGUGCAGGAGAGGAAAGUGGAAUUCCUAGUGUAGCGGUGGAAUGCGUAGAUAUUAGGAGGAACAUCAGUGGCGAAGGCGACUUGCUGGACUGUAACUGACGCUGAGGCACGAAAGUGUGGGGAGCAAACAGGAUUAGAUACCCCAGUAGUC
rnacentral:rRNA from 1 species